GAAGCAAGCCAGACCGCCGCUGGGGCAAGCAUGGAAACAUGGCCCUGGAGGAAGGUCCGGACUGCAUAGAGCGGCGUAGCAGCUAACGGCUGCCCGGCGAAAGCCGAGGAUCAGAGCAACAGAGACGAGUUUUGUCGGGCUCUGCCCGACAAAGGUGAAACGGGCAAUCUCUACGCGCAGCAACACCAAGUAGGCCAGCGUUGAUGCGGCUCGCAGAGCUGGCGGGUAGGUGGCACCGAGCCGGGCAGUGAUGUCCGGCCCAGAGGAAUGGCGGUCACGCCGGGGGCAACCCCGGUGCACAGAAUCCGGCCUAUCGGCUUGCUUCACUC
rnacentral:RNase_P_RNA from 1 species